GUCCGGUUCGACAAGUGGUUUAAGUCACCACACUUUCUAUGUGGUAUCAAGAGUUCGAAUCUCUUACCGGAUA
rnacentral:tRNA from 1 species